AUUGAACGCUGGCGGCAUGCCUUACACAUGCAAGUCGAACGGCAGCAUGAUCUAGCUUGCUAGAUUGAUGGCGAGUGGCGAACGGGUGAGUAAUACAUCGGAACGUGCCCUGUAGUGGGGGAUAACUAGUCGAAAGAUUAGCUAAUACCGCAUACGACCUGAGGGUGAAAGUGGGGGACCGCAAGGCCUCAUGCUAUAGGAGCGGCCGAUGUCUGAUUAGCUAGUUGGUGAGGUAAAGGCUCACCAAGGCGACGAUCAGUAGCUGGUCUGGGAGUACGAUCAGCCACACUGGGACUGAGACACGGCCCAAGCUCCUACGGGAGGCAGCAGUGGGGAAUUUUGGACAAUGGGGGCAACCCUGAUCCAGCAAUGCCGCGUGUGUGAAGAAGGCCUUCGGGUUGUAAAGCACUUUUGUCCGGAAAGAAAUCGCACUUACUAAUAUUAGGUGUGGAUGACGGUACCGGAAGAAUAAGGACCGGCUAACUACAUGCCAGCCGCCGCCGUAACAC
rnacentral:rRNA from 1 species